rnacentral:rRNA from 1 species
UACGGAGGGUGCAAGCGUUAUCCGGAUUUACUGGGUUUAAAGGGUGUGUAGGCGGGCUGUUAAGUCAGUGGUGAAAUCUCCGGGCUCAACCCGGAAACUGCCAUUGAUACUAAUGGUCUUGAAUUUUGUUGAGGUAGGCGGAAUAAGUCAUGUAGCGGUGAAAUGCAUAGAUAUGACUUAGAACACCAAUUGCGAAGGCAGCUUGCUAUGGUAUAAUUGACGCUGAGGCACGAAAGCGUGGGGAUCAAACAGG